rnacentral:misc_RNA from 1 species
GGAAACGGCGACCUUGGUGCCUUGUGUUGCCUACUCCCCUAACACCUCAACGAAACAAAGUACAGACCCAGUCCUCUCUGGUCGCUAAUCUGGGUGGAUGAAUGCCAUUUUCACCAACAAUUAUGCUUUUUUUAAGCUUGAUUUCCUUCUGAGGUAACCUACCUGCUCAUCUACUUAUCAUUGUAAUUUUGUCAUCACCGCUUUUUUCGCAUCAAAAUCUCAUAUUGCCUCCUGUUUUUGUGAUUUGUUAAUCUAAAUCACCAAAGCAGCAAU